ACUAGAAGGAGCUAUUAACAACUAAUGAUAGCUGUCUAAUGCAAGAGGAAUAUCACACUGGAUACUACAUGAUCCACUAGUCAAGCCAUCCACACUCACUCAUGCCUCAAAUGGCAAACAUGACUGCACCAUUGUGUAAUAAAAUGCUAGUAUUCUUAUUGAAUGAAUAAAUGAGUGUUAUAUAUAAUGGGA